GCAUUAAUCCCCCCAGGGGAACCUGGCCCUUAAUUUGAUGAUCCACGAACCUCUUACCCCUCCUAGUUCCCCCACUCCCUUGGGGGGGGGGACAUCAGCUUGCAUACCGCCGUUGUUCAGCUUAUACCGUAAGGGCACAGAAAUAAGCAACGCAGCAGCCUUUGGGUUGCUUCCAAUUCAGGUAAACGUGUAGCCUAUGGAGGGGGGCCGCUGGGUUACAGUGAAAAUUUAACUGGAGCUUAUGGUAAAACAAAAUGCGAAAGAGGACUUGGAAGUAAUAGCUUUAGUUAAAGAGGCUGUGAAUAGAGCUCUAGUGUGUGU
rnacentral:rRNA from 1 species